UGGGGAAUUUUGGACAAUGGGCGAAAGCCUGAUCCAGCAAUGCCGCGUGUGUGAAGAAGGCCUUCGGGUUGUAAAGCACUUUUGUCCGGAAAGAAAUCCUUGGCUCUAAUACAGUCGGGGGAUGACGGUACCGGAAGAAUAAGCACCGGCUAACUACGUGCCAGCAGCCGCGGUAAUACGUAGGGUGCAAGCGUUAAUCGGAAUUACUGGGCGUAAAGCGUGCGCAGGCGGUUUGCUAAGACCGAUGUGAAAUCCCCGGGCUCAACCUGGGAACUGCAUUGGUGACUGGCAGGCUAGAGUAUGGCAGAGGGGGGUAGAAUUCCACGUGUAGCAGUGAAAUGCGUAGAGAUGUGGAGGAAUACCGAUGGCGAAGGCAGCCCCCUGGGCCAAAUACUGACGCUCAUGCACGAAAGCGUGGGGAGCAAACAGGAUUAGAUACCCUGGUAGUCCACGCCCUAAAACGAUGUCAACUAGUUGUUGGGGAUUCAUUUCCUUAGUAACGUAGCUAACGCGUGAAGUUGGCCGCCUGGGGAGUACGGUCGCAAGAUUAAAACUCAAAUGAAUUGACGGGGUCAUAGCUGUUUCCU
rnacentral:rRNA from 1 species